UACGGGGGGGCAAGCGUUGUUCGGGAUUACUGGGCGUAAAGGGUUCGUAGGGGGCCAACUAAGUCAGACGUGAAAUCCCUCAGCUUAACUGGGGAACUGCGUCUGAUACUGGAUGGCUUGAGUGUAGGAGAGGAAUGCGGAAUUCCAGGUGUAGCGGUGAAAUGCGUAGAUAUCUGGAGGAACACCGGUGGCGAAGGCGGCAUUCUGGACUACAACUGACACUGAGGAACGAAAGCCAGGGGAGCAAACGGG
rnacentral:rRNA from 1 species